AUGACACUGAUUUUGCCGAAGAUCUGUCAAACCCAUGCAAGGAUCUGCUGCAUUUCAGAGUUAGCAUCACAGGGACAGUCCUCUUCUUUUUCUUUCUCAAUAACAGAUUCUGAAACUUCACCUAUGGUCUCUGCAAUCUCUUCCAAGUUGUUCUGGGUUGUUUCAGUAGCAUCUUCCAAAGAUGAGGAAGGAGGAAGCUGGGGGAUUGCAGGUGCCUCUGCAUUGGGUGGUUUGACAAAGAAAGGGAUCCAGCCCCACUGCCAGUCAUUAAGGACCACCUUGCCCACAGUCUGCAAGUCAAGCUCUCCACCCUUUAAUAAUUUCUCAGUGUGGAAAGCAAGCUUCUCAAGAAAGUCCUCAGCAUUCUCCCAUGAAUCAAUCUUGUAUGUCUUACUGAUAUAUUCUGGUUUUGCUCGUUCUAGGACAGCACCAAUGUGGUCUUCAGGAGACUUAAUUUUUUCAACUUGAACAACUCCUUUCAGCACAAUGUCCGACUCUGAGUCCUCAGAGGGGUAAACCACACCUGGACAGUCAAUGAGGAAUAUCCGACUCAUCAAGGUAAUAUACUGCCAGACCUUUGUUUCACCUGCAAUUCAGGCCAUGUUGCAAACUGUCCUGGAAUGCAAUGAGUUGAUCACGGAGCUCUUGCCAACAUUUGGAUAGCCAAUGAAGCCAAUGCUGAUGUUUCUUGUCAGUGUGCAACUUUCCAAACUGCCACAGAAGCUCAAUGAAUGUUCCUUUGCCAGAGGGGUUAGUAAGACUCGGCACGCAUGGAAAGCAAGUGUUGGAUACUCCUGGGAGAGGACAGCAACCCAUCGUUUUGUUGCCCAGGUUGGAACAAGGUCACAUUUGUUGAGUACAAAAAUAAGAUGCUUCCAGUGUUUUUCCUGUUUCAAGUAAGCCUCAGUGUGGGGGGAAUGGGUACUCAGGAGAUCUCUAGCAUCAAGAACUUGGACUACAAUAUCUGAUGAAUCUACCACCUUGCAGAGCUCACCCCAUAUUCUUUGAACUCCUUUCUUACACAUAUCUCUUCUUGGGCUUCAUUUCUCACACCAGUGUCUUUGGUUACCAAAUCGCAAUCCUUGCCCUGGUCAUAGCUCUCAGUGGAUAUCUCAGCUUUUUCCAUCAGUGACUGCAUAUCACUCGCAAAUAAAUUUGGCCGCUUUCUCUGUGACUUAGGAUCAAACAUAGUUUCAAAACUUUCGGGGUCAAGAAUGUGCACCUUGGAGUUAUGAGGCUGGAUUCGGUCAUGGAGAAGAGACAUUGGUAACUUGCUUUGCUUCAUGACAACUUUAUAUGGAUCCUUCAGAACUGUAUCCAUUUCCUCUUGAAAUUUCUGUAAUGAAGACUGCUUAAUCACACAUGUGUUUCCAAACCAUUUAAUAUUUGGCUCUACUCGUGCCACGGUGCCAGAAGCCACUGUUGAUUGAUACUCCAGGGGUUUAAUCACUUUACCACAACUAUUCCUGCGCUCCUUUUGCCUAUACAUGUUUAGGCCCUGGAUUGUAGCCGAGUUCCUCAUGUUUUGUCCUCCUGCUCCCUAUAAUCCAUUCAGGUUGGGGCUGGACUUGGAGGGGUUGAUGGUGCUCCGUCCUUUGUACUUGGGCUUCACCAUCUUGCCAAUGGGACAAUGACUGAUCUGGCUUACUUGAUAAAUGAGCUCAGAACUUUCCCGGGCCAUCCAAAAGGACCCCCAUAAACCCUACUUUUUCAUUCUUUAUGGGUGAGUAGUACUCCAUUUAAUUUAAAAAAAAACAUAUCUUCUUUAUACAGUUUCCAGUUGAUGGGCACUUGAGCUGUUUCCAAGCUUUAGCUAUUACAAACUGUGCUGCU
rnacentral:lncRNA from 1 species